rnacentral:rRNA from 1 species
AGUGAACGCUGGCGGUAGGCCUAACACAUGCAAGUCGAACGGCAGCACAGUAAGAGCUUGCUCUUACGGGUGGCGAGUGACGGACGGGUGAGGAAUACAUCGGAAUCUACUUUUUCGUGGGGGAUAACGUAGGGAAACUUACGCUAAUACCGCAUACGACCUACGGGUGAAAGCAGGGGAUCUUCGGACCUUGCGCGAUUGAAUGAGCCGAUGUCGGAUUAGCUAGUUGGCGGGGUAAAGGCCCACCAAGGCGACGAUCCGUAGCUGGUCUGAGAGGAUGAUCAGCCACACUGGAACUGAGACACGGUCCAGACUCCUACGGGAGGCAGCAGUGGGGAAUAUUGGACAAUGGGCGCAAGCCUGAUCCAGCCAUACCGCGUGGGUGAAGAAGGCCUUCGGGUUGUAAAGCCCUUUUGUUGGGAAAGAAAAGCAGCAGGUUAAUACCCCGCUGUUCUGACGGUACCCAAAGGAUAAGCACCGGCUAACUUCGUG